rnacentral:lncRNA from 1 species
AUUCACUCAUUUUGCUCCGUACGUAGACUUCUAGUGAAAUAUCUUAAAAGACUUAUAUUUAGAAACGGAGGGAGUAUAACAUAACAUUUUAUUAGAAAGUGAUCAAUGCGACCCAAAUCAAAAGAAUGGAAGGUGCGGUCAGAAGUAAGUACAUCAAGAUGAGUCCGAAUAAAACCAAAAAGGAGAUAAAAAUACAACCAAUCGGACUGGAAAUAAACACAAACGUCUCGCCAUUAUCGGAUGUUCCCUCAGAAAAUGAUGAUGAUAUCAUCAGUUGAACUUGCUGCAGAGCUUGCGGACCUCUCCCUGUGUGCCGGUGAGCACAUUGACCUCCCCGAGCUUGAUCAACGCCUGCGGGAAGAGCCAACGGAAGUGGUCGGUAUUGGCGAGCCUGUCGACCAUCCAACGCGUGGAGCCGUCGCCGUAAAGGUUUUGGUCGACCAUGAGCGCGCCACGGCGGCGCUGCAGCAUCUUGUAGGUUUCUGCUCGUUCUAACAUUGCAAUGCAUCCGGUUCUACUAGUAAUACAAGUAGUAAAUGUCACACUACGUAAUUGACCUGAUAAAUCCGUGUCAUCUGAUUACACAUAACUUGACUUUUUUGGAUGCAGUUUGUAAAAGUUUUUGGCAUAACUAGCGGUGCGAAAUAUCUUUGGUUUAUCACGAUCACGCUCCACCAUUACAGAUUUACAAUAGAUCCAAUGUUAAUUAUCAUGUUCUACUAAUUUAGUACUCCCUCCGUCCGAAAAUACUUGUCCUAGAGAUGAAUGUAUCUAGAUUUAUUUUAGUUAUAGAUACAUCAAUUAUAUUCAUUUCUAGGACAAGUAUUUCCGAACGGAGGAAGUACAUUACAAGGACUUUUUCUGCUAAUAUAAUUUUUUCAUACUGUCUUUUUAGAAAGACACGUGCAUAUAAUUAUUACGUACAAUCAAACGCUAUUUAAACAACUUGAAUGUGUAAAAUGCCAAGCUAGCCACCUAGGAAAAAUCGACGGCGUGAGGCGUGAGCUCUAGGGCGCCGGUGGCCAUAGGUCCGAGCGGCCAGCGGUGCUCACGGCCAAUGUUCAAGAGGGCACCUGCGGGCAACGGAGGGAGUAGAUCUUUUAUAUAUAAUAGUAGAGAUAUGUGACUGAAACGUAUAUAUGUGCACAACAUCUAUCCUGUUAUUGUUGAUCUCGAUCAUAUAAGAUAACAUUUUAUUAGAAAGUAAUCAAUGCGACGCACAUCAAAAGAAUGGAAGGUGCGGUCAGAAGUAAGUACAUCAAGAUGAGUCCGAAUAAAACCAAAAAGGAGAUAAAAAUACAACCAAUCCGACUGGAAAUAAACACAAAAGUCUCGCCCUUAUCGGAUGUUUCCUCAGAAAAUGAUGAUGAUAUCAUCAGU